rnacentral:rRNA from 1 species
UACAGAGGUGGCAAGCGUUGUUCGGAAUUACUGGGCGUAAAGGCGCGUAGGCGGCCAUCUAAGUCAGACGUGAAAUCCCCCGGCUUAACCUGGGAACUGCGUCUGAUACUGGACGGCUUGAGUAUGGGAGAGGGAUGUAGAAUUCCAGGUGUAGCGGUGAAAUGCGUAGAUAUCUGGAGGAAUACCGGUGGCGAAGGCGGCAUCCUGGACCAUUACUGACGCUGAGGCGCGAAAGCUAGGGGAGCAACAGG